rnacentral:piRNA from 1 species
UAGAUAUUAUAUUACUCUGCCUCUCUUCAU